CUUUGCUAAAAUACAAAGACAAAAAGACAGAAUAUUAGACCCAUAUUAAAAAAAACUUCAACUGAUUAAUUUAGUAACAAAUAACAGCUUUAAAUAUUGAAGUAAUUUUGAUAAUCUUCCUGAUCAUCAUCAUCCUUCUCUUUUACCUGUGUAUCUUCUUAAAGCCGAUCAUGUAAUCGGGGACAGGACAGCCAGCUUGUUUAAUGACAUUAGCGAUGCUGUUACAAAGAGAUGGAGACAGAAAUAUAUUCAGGGGAAAAGUCAAUCAUUAAUAAUAUCACAUACAUAAACAGGCAUGGGAACUGUACAGACUGAAGCAGCAUGUUUCUGAAAAAGAGUAGAUCCUUUGAUUAAAAUUCAUGUUUAGAGAAAAGUAACCCAAAUCCAACACUAUCCAAUAUUUUACUAUUGUAACAUCACUGUACUGCAGAUAAAUUGUUUUAAUAUUUUAUAUUUUUGUGCUGCAUCAACAUACCUUCGGAGCAGUGGUUUGUCAUCUUCUGUGAAGAAGGUCAUGGCCUUCCCCUGAUGUCCAGCUCGGCCGGUUCGACCUGAGGAACAGCAAACAGGAGAAUAAGUGAGGAACAGAUGAGCAGAGAGAAAAGAGAGGAGCAAGGCCUUAAAGGAGACAACACAGGAUUAGAGCGACUACUUAAAAAUGUAUGCUCAGCGUUAGAUAUGGAAACGGACAAAGCUUUCCGUUUGUACUCUGCCUUCAUUUCAGCCAUAUUUUUGCACGUUUUCUGGAAGCUUAUGGAUACAAUGGAAACAGCACCAGAAAACGUGGGGCAAGACGAAGACAUUUCAUCAAUGGCGGAAGUUGCACUGGUGGGGAAGUCGUAGUUCAGCACGAGGUUGACCCCUUUGAAGUCGAUUCCUCUGGCGAGCAGCGCCGUGCAGAUCAACACCCAAAUCUUACCGGAGCGGAAACUGCUCACCACAUUGUCCCUCUGCAACAGAAGAGGAGGUUAAUCACCAGGCUGCACUUCAGUGACACAGAGAGGACCGACACUGAGGUCUGUUAGAGUGUCUGUGUGUACCUGCUGCUGUGUGCGGUCUGCGUGGAUCACAUCUACAUUGAUGCCUUCAUACACCAGCUCAUGGAAAAGCUCCCGUGCUCGAUCAAUAGACUGAACAAACACCAGCAUGGGAGGAAGAAAACCCUGGAAUAAAGCAAGAAGAACAUGCCUUCAUGUUAAUGUCUCUUCUCUUUAGAGAGUUAGUUUCAUUUGUAAUGACCAUGUCUGAAUGUAAUGAAUGAAUUCGUCACUAUAAACAGAAUCUGCAUGUGAAAAUGCAGAAUCUGUGGGUGAGGGACAAGAUUUUGGGGUUGAAGGCCUUCUGGUUUUGUUUUGUAGUUUGACCAAUCAUGUUUGAGCAGGUAAACAGUCCGUGUGGUGAGAAGAAGAGGCAGAACACAUUGACUGAAAUGUAUCUGCUGUUGAUUUUUUUGCAUUCUUAUGCAGAUAGCUGUUAAUAGAUAUGAGCUCAAAUGUAAUCUGGAUCUAAAACAACUCUGAAAAAAGCAUCGCUGUUUGUGUUUUGUGUGUAAAAACGUUCGACCCCAAAAUAAAGGCUGUUACCCCCAGAAA